rnacentral:rRNA from 1 species
UACGUAGGGUGCAAGCGUUGUCCGGAAUUAUUGGGCGUAAAGAGCUCGUAGGUGGCCUGUCGCGUCGGCUGUGAAAACUCGGGGCUCAACUCCGAGCUUGCAGUCGAUACGGGCAGGCUAGAGUUCGGCAGGGGAGACUGGAAUUCCUGGUGUAGCGGUGAAAUGCGCAGAUAUCAGGAGGAACACCGGUGGCGAAGGCGGGUCUCUGGGCCGAUACUGACACUGAGGAGCGAAAGCGUGGGAAGCGAACAGG